UUGUACGGCCAUCCCACCCUGAACGCGCCCGAUCACGUCUGAUCUCGGAAGCUAAGCAGGGACGGGCCUGGUUAGUACUUGGAUGGGAGAGAAGCAGAAGAAUGCAGGUAAAUUCCCAGGAAAGUGCCGUACUUU
rnacentral:rRNA from 1 species